rnacentral:rRNA from 1 species
GACGUGACUUCAGAGUUUGAUCCUGGCUCAGGACGAACGCUGGCGGCGUGCUUAACACAUGCAAGUUGAACGAGAAUUUUUUAAUAGAUUUCUUCGGAAUGAAAUUAAAAAGGAAAGUAGCGAACGGGUGAGUAACACGUGAGAAACCUGCCUUUCACAAAGGGAUAGCCUCGGGAAACCGGGAUUAAUACCUUAUGACACGGAGAUAUCGCAUGAUAAUUUCGUUAAAGAAUUUCGGUGAAAGAUGGUCUCGCGUCUGAUUAGCUAGUUGGUAAGGUAACGGCUUACCAAGGCGACGAUCAGUAGCCGGAUUGAGAGGUUGAACGGCCACACUGGAACUGAGACACGGUCCAG